AUUGAACGCUGGCGGCAUGCUUUACACAUGCAAGUCGAACGGUAACAGGCCUUCGGGUGCUGCCGAGUAGCGUACGGGUGAGUAAUGCAUCGGAACGUGCCCAGAGGGGGGGGUUAACGCAGCGAAAGCUGUGCUAAUACCGCAUGUGAUCUGAGGAAGAAAGCGGGGGACCAGGCAGCAAUGUUUGGCGUCGCGCCUUUGAAGCGGCCGUUGUUUGAUUAGGUAGUUGGUGGGGUAAAGGCCUACCAAGCCGACGAUCUGUAGCUGGUCUGAGAGGGCGACCAGCCACACUGGGACUGAGACACGGCCCAGACUCCUACGGGAGGCAGCAGUGGGGAAUUUUGGACAAUGGGCGAAAGCCUGAUCCAGCAAUGCCGCGUGCGGGAAGAAGGCCUUCGGGUUGUAAACCGCUUUUGUACGGAACGAAAAGGCUCUGGCUAAUACCUGGGGCUGAUGACGGUACCGUAAGAAUAAGCACCGGCUAACUACGUG
rnacentral:rRNA from 1 species